rnacentral:rRNA from 1 species
CAGCAGCCGCCGCGGUAAUACAGAGGGUGCGAGCGUUAAUCGGAUUUACUGGGCGUAAAGCGUGCGUAGGCGGCUAAUUGAGUCGGAUGUGAAAUCCCCGAGCUUAACUUGGGAAUUGCAUUCGAUACUGGUUAGCUAGAGUGUGGGAGAGGAUGGUAGAAUUCCAGGUGUAGCGGUGAAAUGCGUAGAGAUCUGGAGGAAUACCGAUGGCGAAGGCAGCCAUCUGGCCUAACACUGACGCUGAGGUACGAAAGCAUGGGGAGCAAACAGGAUUAGAUACCCCCGUAGUCACUGUCUCUUAUAC